rnacentral:rRNA from 1 species
AGCGAACGUUAGCGGCGGGCCUAACACAUGCAAGUCGAACGAGAAAGGGGCUUCGGCCCUGAGUAAAGUGGCGGACGGGUGAGUAACACGUGGAUAAUCUGCCCUUCAGCGGGGGAUAACAGUCCGAAAGGAUUGCUAAUACCGCAUACGUCUCCUGGGACUGCGGUUCUGGGAGGGAAAGCAGCCCUCUCCAUGGGAGGUUGCACUGAAGGAUGAGGACGCGUCGCAUCAGCUAGUUGGUAGGGUAAUGGCCUACCAAGGCAAAGACGCGUAGCUGGUCUGAGAGGAUGAUCAGCCACACUGGAACUGAGACACGGUCCAGACUCCUACGGGAGGCAGCAGUGGGGAAUAUUGGGCAAUGGGCGCAAGCCUGACCCAGCCACGCCGCGUGAGUGAUGAAGGCCUUCGGGUCGUAAAGCUCUGUGGGGAGGGACGAAAAAACGACAGCUAACAUCUGCUGGACUGACGGUACCUCCUUAGCAAGCACCGGCUAACUCCGUGCCAGCAGCCGCCGUAAAAC